CUCAGAACGAACGUUAGCGGCGCGCCUAACACAUGCAAGUCGAGCGAGAAGGAAGCAAUUCCUGUAAAGCGGCGCACGGGUGAGUAACACGUAGGUAAUCUACCUCGAAGUGGUGGAUAACCUUCCGAAAGGAGGGCUAAUACAGCAUGAGACCACGGUUUCGAAAGAGAUUGAGGUCAAAGCGGGCCACUAUACAUAAGCUCGCGCUUCGAGAUGAGCCUGCGGCCCAUUAUGGUAGUUGGUAGGGUAAUGGCCUACCAAGCCGAAGACGGGUAGCUGGUCUGAGAGGAUGAUCAGCCACACUGGAACUGAGACACGGUCCAGACUCCUACGGGAGGCAGCAGUGGGGAAUCUUGCGCAAUGGGCGAAAGCCUGACGCAGCGACGCCGCGUGAGUGAUGAAGGCCUUC
rnacentral:rRNA from 1 species